UUUGCCAGCCAGCAGCUUUUACCUGCAUUGCUUUAAAGGCUCCCAGAAUGAUAUCCUGUAACCUGUAUUGUGCUGAAGCGAUGCCACCAGUUGCUGGUUUUCCUUCAUUCCCAAAAGCCUUAGUCGUUGGGUUAUCUCCUUCUAGCACAUGCUUUCCAUGUUUAUCUUUUCCAAGGAGCGGUGUUGAAAGCUGGAAAGGAAGCGGCUGCUUCCCAGAGCUGGCGAGAUUGCAGGGAAAGCACUUGACACCCUCAUGACACUUCCUUGAAAUGGAUGCAAAACGGAAAGAUGAGCUCCUGGUUCCUGCUCAGCACCUGAUCCUGUCUCACUUCUGUGGAUCACCCUCUGGAAGUACCACCAAGUAGUGCCUCAUUCUCCUUCUAAGAAGGAAACAGGGAGCACUGUCCUGCCCUCACCACCCUCUGCAUUCCCACAGAGCAGAAGGAAGGGGAGAUGGGGCUGGAAAACCAACGGAGGAGGAAACGGGAUGGCGGUACUGAGAUCACCGCGUUACGGAUGCCAGGGAAUUCCAGGGGCACUGCAGGAGGUGAUGAGCAGUGAUUCAUGGCAUAUCUCAAACCUGGAAUCCGGAUUUCCUGGAGCAGUUUCCUGAGUUCAGCAGUGAUCUGAGCCGUGUCACCAGGUUUGUCCUCACCACCUCUCUCGCUGCAGCCGUGCAGAUUGUGCACACAGGGAAACAGCUGGACACUCCCAGAGGAAAAAUCUUUCCAAGGCACAGAAGAGCAGGACUCAGUGUCAUGUAUUUGUGAGGAAGUGUUCGGUUUUCAGGUGUUUGUGGUUCUGUGAGGAUCGUGCAGAGCCACAGAACAGCUUGGGUUGGAAGACAUUUUUAAAGACCAUCUUGUCCUGCCAUGGGCAGGGACAUCUUUCACUGGCUCAGUCACAGAUCUCCCUGGCAGAGGCUCCCAAGUCCCUCA